rnacentral:ribozyme from 1 species
UUUUGCUUUGCUAUUUUGCUUUUGUUUUUUGUUUUUUGUUUUUCUUUUUUCU